rnacentral:miRNA from 1 species
ACCUCUGCUCCUGCCCCACCAG